rnacentral:rRNA from 1 species
UACGAGGGGGGCAAGCGUUGUUCGGAAUUAUUGGGCGUAAAGGGCGCGUAGGCGGUUUGACAAGUCUGAUGUGAAAUCUCUGGGCUCAACCCAGAGUCUGCAUUAGAAACUGUCGGGCUUGAGUAUGGGAGAGGUGAGUGGAAUUUCCGGUGUAGCGGUGAAAUGCGUAGAUAUCGGAAGGAACACCUGUGGCGAAAGCGGCUCACUGGACCUAACUGACGCUGAGGCGCGAAAGCGGAGGGAG